rnacentral:rRNA from 1 species
UACGUAGGGUGCGAGCGUUAAUCGGAAUUACUGGGCGUAAAGCGUGCGCAGGCGGUGCUGUAAGACCGAUGUGAAAUCCCCGGGCUUAACCUGGGAACUGCAUUGGUGACUGCAGCGCUGGAGUAUGGCAGAGGGGGGUGGAAUUCCACGUGUAGCAGUGAAAUGCGUAGAGAUGUGGAGGAACACCGGUGGCGAAGGCGGCAUCCUGGACCGGCAUUGACGCUGAGGAGCGAAAGCCAGGGGAGCAAACGGG